GACGAACGCNGGCGGCGUGCCUAAUACAUGCAAGUAGAACGCUGAAGGAGGAGCUUGCUCUUCUGGAUGAGUUGCGAACGGGUGAGUAACGCGUAGGUAACCUGCCUGGUAGCGGGGGAUAACUAUUGGAAACGAUAGCUAAUACCGCAUAAGAGUAGAUGUUGCAUGACAUUUGCUUAAAAGGUGCAAUUGCAUCACUACCAGAUGGACCUGCGUUGUAUUAGCUAGUUGGUGAGGUAACGGCUCACCAAGGCGACGAUACAUAGCCGACCUGAGAGGGUGAUCGGCCACACUGGGACUGAGACACGGCCCAGACUCCUACGGGAGGCAGCAGUAGGGAAUCUUCGGCAAUGGACGGAAGUCUGACCGAGCAACGCCGCGUGAGUGAAGAAGGUUUUCGGAUCGUAAAGCUCUGUUGUAAGAGAAGAACGAGUGUGAGAGNGGAAAGUCACAC
rnacentral:rRNA from 1 species